AUGGCAUCCGAGCAGAGUCGCCGCGAGGAGCGCGCGCAGGCCGCGGCGCAGAAGGCGGCCGACGAGCUCGCCGCGGCCAGGCGGGACAUGCGCGAGCCCAGCAGCCCAGGACGGCGGACCGGCAUCUUCGGCACCGUGCAGGAGAGCGCGCGCUCCCUGAUGGGCGCCGUCCGCGACACCUUCUCCGGCGGCGUCCGGGACACAACCACGGCCCACGACAGCCACUCCAGCGGCGCCAUGGGGACCGCGGGGGAGAAACUCGAUGAGUACGGGAGCUACGCAUCCCAGAAGGCCGAGGAAGGGAAGGAGGGCGCGAGUGAGAUGGCGGACGCCGCUGCGGGGAAGACCAAGGAUGCGGCCGCGGAGAAGACGAGGGAGAUGGCGGACGCCGCCGCGGGGAAGACCAAGGAGACCAAGGACGCGGCGGUGGAGAAGACGAGGGAGAUGGCGGACACCGCCGCGACGAAGGCCGCGGAGACCAAGGACGCGGCCGCAGAGAAGGCGAGCGGCGCGGGGGAGAUGGUGACGGAGAAGGCGAGGAGUGCCAAGGACGCGGCGGCUGACAAGGCGAGUGGAGCGGCGGAGACGGUGACGGAGAAGGCGAAGGGCGCCAAGGACGCAGCCUUGGAUACAGCGGAGGGCGCCAAGGAGUACAUGGUGGACAAGAAGGAGGACGCCCGGCGAGCGCUCGCCGGCUCGGCCAAGGAUAGCAAGGGCGAGACAAACGAGUCGGCGUGGCAACAGGGCCAGGACGUGCGGCGGCGGGCGGCGGAGAAGGCCGAGGAGGCUCGUCAGCGAACGCACCAACCGCCGGAGGAGGAGAGGUCGAAGUCGGCAACGGAGAACAUCUUGGGGUCGGCGCAGGGGUUGACGGAGGCGUUCAAGGAGAAGAUGACGAUGCCGACGGACGUGAUCGAGCGGAAGCUCGCUGAGAGGAAGGGGACGCCGACGGACGCGGGCAGGGGCGAGGCACUGAACGCGGACGACGUGAUGCUGCGCGUCAAGGAGGCCGACCAGAUGACCGGGACAGGGUUUAACGACGUCGGCAAGAUGGGCGAGGAGGGCACCGGCAUGAAGGCGGCACUGAGGGCCGACGACGAGGAGGACGUGAUGCUGCGGGUGAAGGCGGCGGACCAGAUGACGGGGCAGGCGUUCAACGACGUCGGCCCGAUGGGAGAGGAGGGCACGGGAUGGGGUCCGGCGUUGAGGGCGCGGAAGGACGCCUGA
rnacentral:rRNA from 1 species